rnacentral:rRNA from 1 species
AUGGCAGACCAAGCAUGGGUGGCAGAAAAGGCAAUUGGGUAUCUUCAAAGUGAACCAAAAAUUGGUGGCAUGGAGCUCCUAAAAAAGCUACAAGCAGAGUACAAAUGUACUAUUGGGUAUGAUAUUGUUCAAAAGGGAAAAGAAAGGGCCGCAAAAAUGUUAUAUGGAACAUGGGGAAAAAGCUUUCAGAAUUUAUUCAACUUCAAAGCUGAGAUUGAUAAGAGAUCUCCGGGUAGCAUUGUUGAGGUUGAUGUCAAGAGGGGAAAAGGUGGAGUGUAUUUCCGGAGAUUUUUUAUGGCACUUAAGCCAAGCAUUGAUGGCUUUUAG